rnacentral:rRNA from 1 species
UCCGACCUCAGAUCAGACGAGAGUACCCGCUGAAUUAAGCAUAUCACUAAGCGAGA